GACGAACGCUGGCGGCGUGCUUAACACAUGCAAGUCGAACGAUGAAGCUGGAGCUUGCUCCGGUGGAUUAGUGGCGAACGGGUGAGUAACACGUGAGCAAUCUGCCCUUGACUCUGGGAUAACUGCGGGAAACUGUAGCUAAUACCGGAUACGAGACCUGAAGGCAUCUUCGGGUCUGGAAAGAAUUUCGGUCAAGGAUGAGCUCGCGGCCUACCAGCUUGUUGGUGAGGUAAUGGCUCACCAAGGCGACGACGGGUAGCCGGCCCGAGAGGGUGACCGGCCACACUGGGACUGAGACACGGCCCAGACUCCUACGGGAGGCAGCAGUGGGGAAUAUUGCACAAUGGGCGAAAGCCUGAUGCAGCAACGCCGCGUGAGGGAUGAAGGCCUUCGGGUUGUAAACCUCUUUUAGCAGGGAAGAAGCGAAAGUGACGGUACCUGCAGAAAAAGCACCGGCUAACUACGUGCCAGCCGCCGCGGUAA
rnacentral:rRNA from 1 species